rnacentral:rRNA from 1 species
AUUGAACGCUGGCGGCAGGCCUAACGCAUGCAAGUCGAGCGGAUGAAGGGAGCUUGCUCCUGGAUUCAGCGGCGGACGGGUGAGCAAUGCCUAGGAAUCUGCCUGGUAGUGGGGGAUAACGUCCGGAAACGGGCGCUAAUACCGCAUACGUCCUGAGGGAGAAAGUGGGGGAUCUUCGGACCUCACGCUAUCAGAUGAGCCUAGGUCGGAUUAGCUAGUUGGUGGGGUAAAGGCCUACCAAGGCGACGAUCCGUAACUGGUCUGAGAGGAUGAUCAGUCACCUGGGAACGGAGACAGGGCCCAGCCUCCUCAGGGAGGGGCCAGGGGGGAUUUUUGGCAAAGGGGCGAAAGUUUUACCCACCCGGGCCGCGUGUGUGAAAAAGGUCUUGGUAUUUUAAAACAUUUAAAGUUGGGGGAAAGGCAAGUAAUUUAAUCCCUUGCUGUUUGCAGUUUCCAAAAAAAAUAAGCCCCGGCUAACUUCGUC